rnacentral:lncRNA from 1 species
UCAUAAUGCAUUGGGGAUUCUGUGUUCAGUUACAGUGGGAUGAUACCUUGAGGCAUAUUUAACAGUGACUUGGAUUUGAGUACCAACACCCAAAGAACUCUGACUUCAAAAGAGCUUGAUGGUGCAGCAGAUUUAGUGUAGCUGCCAGUCUAUAUAGCACAUUCAUGAGGAGGAGGAAACUGCUGUCCUGUUAUCUAUGGAAAAUAUGACCAAUUCCAUUGCAAUGAUAUCGAGAACCAGGUGAUAUCAUUCCUCAGCCAUACAGGAGGAGUAGUUGCUU